UACGUAGGGUGCAAGCGUUAAUCGGAAUUACUGGGCGUAAAGCGUGCGCAGGCGGUGAUGUAAGACAGUUGUGAAAUCCCCGGGCUCAACCUGGGAACUGCAUCUGUGACUGCAUCGCUGGAGUGCGGCAGAGGGGGAUGGAAUUCCGCGUGUAGCAGUGAAAUGCGUAGAUAUGCGGAGGAACACCGAUGGCGAAGGCAAUCCCCUGGGCCUGCACUGACGCUCAUGCACGAAAGCGUGGGGAGCAAAC
rnacentral:rRNA from 2 species